CACCAGGUUGAUUCUGCCUGACGUGGAUGCUAGUUUCUAAGACUAAGCCAUGCAUGUUUAUGAAGCGAAUAUAUUGCGGAUUGAUAGACGGCUCAGUAAUACUGCGAUGAUUUGAUUGAGAUUUGUGCUUGUAACUACGGGAAACUGUAGGUAAGGGAGAGUAGUGUAUUAUUUUAGUGAUAGUACAUGUGUUGAGUAAGUUGCAGACCUAUCAACUGGUAGUUAGGGUAAUGGCCUAACUAGGUGGCGACGGGAGACGGGGGAUUAGGGUUUGAUUCCGGAGAGGGAGCCUGAGAGAUGGCUACUACGUCCAAGGAUGGCAGCAGGCGCGAAACUUGCCUAAUCUUUGGAAUAGGAGGCAGUGAUGAGACGUGAAAGUUCAGUGGUGGAUUGUAAAGAGAUGUACUGAUAUUGGAGGGCAAGUCGGGUGCCAGCAGCCGCGGUAAUACCUGCUCCGAUAGUGUCUAUGGUUAAUGCUGCAGUUAAAAAGUCCGUAGUUUUGAUUUUAUGUAGUAUGUUUUUGUUAGCCUGUGGUUAAUGUGGGGAGUGAAUGUACUUAUAGUUGUGCGCAACGGAUGAGGGGUGUUGGAUAGUUGGGCGAGAGGUGAAAUGUGAUGACCCUGACUGGACGAACUGAAGCGAAAGCGAUGCUCUUGGAUGGAUGUGUGGAUCAAGGACGAAGGCUGGAGGAUCGAAAUCGAUUAGAUACCGUUUUAGUUCCAGCAGUAAACGAUGCCGACUGUGUGGUGUUUUGAUGAGCCCUGUGCGAGAGAAAUUGAUAAGUAUGUGGGUUUUGGGGAUAGUAUGUUCGCAGACGUGAAACUUAAAGAGAUU
rnacentral:rRNA from 1 species